GACGUAGGGCGCGAGCGUUGUCCGGAUUUAUUGGGCGUAAAGAGCUCGUAGGCGGCUUGUCGCGUCGUCUGUGAAAACCCAUCGCUCAACGAUGGGCCGGCAGGCGAUACGGGCAGACUUGAGUACUGCAGGGGAGACUGGAAUUCCUGGUGUAGCGGUGAAAUGCGCAGAUAUCAGGAGGAACACCGGUGGCGAAGGCGGGUCUCUGGGCAGUAACUGACGCUGAGGAACGAAAGCGUGGGUAGCAAACAGG
rnacentral:rRNA from 1 species